rnacentral:rRNA from 1 species
GUAGUCCGGAUUGGAGUCUGCAACUCGACUCCAUGAAGUCGGAAUCGCUAGUAAUCGUAGAUCAGAAUGCUACGGUGAAUACGUUCCCGGGCCUUGUACACACCGCCCGUCACACCAUGGGAGUGGGUUGCAAAAGAAGUAGGUAGCUUAACUUUCGGGAGGGCGCUUACCACUUUGUGAUUCAUGACUGGGGUGAAGUCGUAACAAGGUAACCGUAGGGGAACCUGCGGUUGGAUCACCUCCUUACCUUAAAGAA